UUAUCAAUUAUAGGACAGAUUCCUCUGAACAGACUAAAGUACCGCC
rnacentral:rRNA from 1 species